UGGGGAAUCUUGCGCAAUGGGCGAAAGCCUGACGCAGCGACGCCGCGUGGGUGAUGAAGGCCUUCGGGUUGUAAAGCUCUGUGGGGAGAGACGAAUAAGACGUGGCUAACAUCCACGGCGAUGACGGUAUCUCCUUAGCAAGCACCGGCUAACUCUGUGCCAGCAGCCGCGGUAAGACAGAGGGUGCAAACGUUGUUCGGAAUUACUGGGCGUAAAGCGUGUGUAGGCGGCCAGGUAAGUUGGAUGUGAAAGCCCGGGGCUCAACCCCGGAAGUGCAUUCAAAACUGCUUGGCUUGAGUAUCGGAGAGGUUGGUGGAAUUCUCGGUGUAGAGGUGAAAUUCGUAGAUAUCGAGAGGAACACCGGUGGCGAAGGCGGCCAACUGGACGAAUACUGACGCUGAGACACGAAAGCGUGGGGAGCAAACA
rnacentral:rRNA from 1 species